UUAGGUGACUUUAGCGGCGGUGUCCACCUCUUCCCAUUCCGAACAGAGAAGUUAAGCCCGCCUGCGCCAAUGAUACUGCCAUACCCGGUGGGAAAGUAGGUCGUCGCCAAAC
rnacentral:rRNA from 1 species